rnacentral:misc_RNA from 1 species
CUCCGCGGUCUUCCGAGCGGUCGCGUGAACUGCUUCCUGCAGGCUGGCCAUGGCGCUUCACGUUCCCAAGGCUCCGGGCUUUGCCCAGAUGCUCAAGGAGGGAGCGAAAGUAAGGGCUGAAGGAAAGGAAUGAGCACUUUUCAGGAUUAGAAGAGGCUGUGUAUAGAAACAUACAAGCUUGCAAGGAGCUUGCCCAAACCACUCGUACAGCAUAUGGACCAAAUGGAAUGAACAAAAUGGUUAUCAACCACUUGGAGAAGUUGUUUGUGACAAACGAUGCAGCAACUAUUUUAAGAGAACUAGAAGUACAGCAUCCUGCUGCAAAAAUGAUUGUAAUGGCUUCUCAUAUGCAAGAGCAAGAAGUUGGAGAUGGCACAAACUUUGUUCUGGUAUUUGCUGGAGCUCUCCUGGAAUUAGCUGAAGAACUUCUGAGGAUUGGCCUGUCAGUUUCAGAGGUCAUAGAAGGUUAUGAAAUAGCCUGCAGAAAAGCUCAUGAGAUUCUUCCUAAUUUGGUAUGUUGUUCUGCAAAAAACCUUCGAGAUAUUGAUGAAGUCUCAUCUCUACUUCGUACCUCCAUAAUGAGUAAACAAUAUGGUAAUGAAGUAUUUCUGGCCAAGCUUAUUGCUCAGGCAUGCGUAUCUAUUUUUCCUGAUUCCGGCCAUUUCAAUGUUGAUAACAUCAGAGUUUGUAAAAUUCUGGGCUCUGGUAUCAGUUCCUCUUCAGUAUUGCAUGGCAUGGUUUUUAAGAAGGAAACCGAAGGUGAUGUAACAUCUGUCAAAGAUGCAAAAAUAGCAGUGUACUCUUGUCCUUUUGAUGGCAUGAUAACAGAAACUAAGGGAACAGUGUUGAUAAAGACUGCUGAAGAAUUGAUGAAUUUUAGUAAGGGAGAAGAAAACCUCAUGGAUGCACAAGUCAAAGCUAUUGCUGAUACUGGUGCAAAUGUCGUAGUAACAGGUGGCAAAGUGGCAGACAUGGCUCUUCAUUAUGCAAAUAAAUAUAAUAUCAUGUUAGUGAGGCUAAACUCAAAAUGGGAUCUCCGAAGACUUUGUAAAACUGUUGGUGCUACAGCUCUUCCUAGAUUGACACCUCCUGUCCUUGAAGAAAUGGGACACUGUGACAGUGUUUACCUCUCAGAAGUUGGAGAUACUCAGGUGGUGGUUUUUAAGCAUGAAAAGGAAGAUGGCGCCAUUUCUACCAUAGUACUUCGAGGCUCUACAGACAAUCUGAUGGAUGACAUAGAAAGGGCAGUAGACGAUGGUGUUAAUACUUUCAAAGUUCUUACAAGGGAUAAACGUCUUGUACCCGGAGGUGGAGCAACAGAAAUUGAAUUAGCCAAACAGAUCACAUCAUAUGGAGAGACAUGUCCUGGACUUGAACAGUAUGCUAUUAAGAAGUUUGCUGAGGCAUUUGAAGCUAUUCCCCGCGCACUGGCAGAAAACUCUGGAGUUAAGGCCAAUGAAGUAAUCUCUAAACUUUAUGCAGUACAUCAAGAAGGAAAUAAAAACGUUGGAUUAGAUAUUGAGGCUGAAGUCCCUGCUGUAAAGGACAUGCUGGAAGCUGGUAUUCUAGAUACUUACCUGGGAAAAUAUUGGGCUAUCAAACUCGCUACUAAUGCUGCAGUCACUGUACUUAGAGUGGAUCAGAUCAUCAUGGCAAAACCAGCUGGUGGGCCCAAGCCUCCAAGUGGGAAGAAAGACUGGGAUGAUGACCAAAAUGAUUGAAAUUGGCUUAAUUUUUACUGUAGGUGAAGGCUGUAUUUGUAGUAGUACUCAAGAAUCACCUGAUGUUUUCUUAUUCUCCUUAAAUUAAGAGUUAUUUUGUGUUUGUAUUCUUGGCUGGAUGUUAUAAUAAACAUAUUGUUACUGUCAAAGC